CGCCUCAGGAGGGAUCGAACCCACAUAUUCCAGUUUUUCGGCCUGCGGUGCUACCGAUUGCACCACCAGGGC